rnacentral:misc_RNA from 1 species
UUUCCGUAGGUGAACCUGCGGAAGGAUCAUUAUUGUAAAACCGAGGUGCGAGGGCUGUCGCUGACCCGAAAGGUCGUGCACGCCCGAGUCCCCUCACACACAUCCAUCUCACCCCUAUGUGCACCACCGCGUGGGUCCCCCUUUGGCUCGUUCGGAGGGGGGCUUACGUUUUCACACAAACUUUGUAUGCAGUGUAGAAUGUAUUUUUUGUUUUUGCGAUCACGCAAUCAAUACAACUUUCAACAACGGAUCUCUUGGCUCUC